rnacentral:antisense_RNA from 1 species
CUUGACGGAGCCCAGCCACAGCGGCUUCCCCGGUGCGCGGUCCUGCCCGUACGUGGCGAGCAGCGCCUGCGCUUC